AUGGCAAGUAAUACCUUAUCUAUAGCUGAAAGUCUUAAUAUGAAAGUUUCUACCUCUUACAAGAGAGGCAGCCUUGGUUCCCCCACCAGUGGGAUCCAGUUGUCUCUGCCCAUUUGUGGAGUAACUUGGAGGACAGGAAGCUGGUUUGCUGAAAGACCGCGGGGUGGAGAGAUAAGAAUAUGUGAACAAGAGAAUAAAAUACUAAAAGGGUUGCAAUGACCCCAUAAAAUGCAUGCUAACCAAAUCAGAAGUGACCGAAAUUGGGGGGAGAAGAAAGGAGGUAAGAAGAAAUUUUU
rnacentral:lncRNA from 1 species